GUGUUUUACAAAAAGAGAGAAGAUUAGCACUCCCCUUGACAAGGAUGGAAGAGGCCCUUGGGCCUCACAACACGCAUACGGUUAAGGCAUUGCCACCUACUUCGUAGCAUCUAACCAUCGUUUUUA
ensembl:snRNA